AGUGAACGCUGGCGGUAGGCCUAACACAUGCAAGUCGAACGGCAGCACAGUAAGAGCUUGCUCUUACGGGUGGCGAGUGGCGGACGGGUGAGGAAUACAUCGGAAUCUACUUUUUCGUGGGGGAUAACGUAGGGAAACUUACGCUAAUACCGCAUACGACCUACGGGUGAAAGCAGGGGAUCUUCGGACCUUGCGCGAUUGAAUGAGCCGAUGUCGGAUUAGCUAGUUGGCGGGGUAAAGGCCCACCAAGGCGACGAUCCGUAGCUGGUCUGAGAGGAUGAUCAGCCACACUGGAACUGAGACACGGUCCAGACUCCUACGGGAGGCAGCAGUGGGGAAUUUUGGACAAUGGGCGCAAGCCUGAUCCAGCCAUACCGCGUGGGUGAAGAAGGCCUUCGGGUUGUAAAGCCCUUUUGUUGGGAAAGAAAAGCAGCAGGUUAAUACCCCGCUGUUCUGACGGUACCCAAAGAAUAAGCACCGGCUAACUUCGUG
rnacentral:rRNA from 1 species